rnacentral:tRNA from 1 species
UGUUAGGCGGCAGGCUGUAGUCCUGUACACAUUGGUUUAAUUCCUUUCUAUUACCA